rnacentral:lncRNA from 1 species
UUUUAGUACAUCUUCCCUCCCACGUUUUCCAACUUCAAUCCCUUUAAAACUUUUUCUCGAAUUUGUUUUUCCAUUUGCAUUUGCAUCGCGUCUACAAUUGGAUGUGUUUGUUCAGACCAUUGUCGAUAACGAAGAUAAAGUUUCAACGAAGGACAACCAAGUAUGUUGGUGGGAUAGAUUAUCAUUAAGAAAGGGAAACCAAUUGUCACCAUCGCCGGCUUCUACCAAAACAGUUCCAGAUGAACAAGGUCACGAUUUCCAUCGCAUCAACCAGUACGGAUCGACUGUCUGUUUUAACGAUUUGAAGGUUCCUGUUGAUGGUGGUUUCUUAUAAUUAGCAUCAACAUCUUGAUGUCAGAUUUGUAUUGGUGAUAUGCUGAUAAUUAGCUUCAUAAUUUCAUUGGGAUUUUUGCCUAUUACCUUUUUAUCUUAUGUUGUAGAUAUUGUUUUUUACAUAAAGAUAUAACCAUCUAGAGUCUACAUAUAUCAAAAUUGCUGGUAACUCAAUGUUUACACCUUAUAUUUAGCUUUGCAUGAAAUAUUGAAUAGUGAUGGAAUCAAAUUUGUGGGGUAUGAUUGCAUGCUUUUUGGUUGUUAGAUACUUAUAUUUUGUUUUAGUGUGUACGUAAACAGAACUAGUACGGCUGCCAAUGAACUAGUGGAUCACAGGGUAUUAUUAUCAAAAAUAAAGAUCAAUUUAUGAACUACAUGAUGUACUUCUGUUAGGUCAAGAAUUUUGAUCCUUGCUCUGAUGAUUGUGCAUCCACCUAUCUGAGUAGAGCAAAAUUGCAAGCAGCUAUUUAUGCCCAAAAAACCUCAUCGUUACAUUGUUGGUACUCAUUUUCUUUAAAUUUGCAUGGUAAUACUAUAAACACAAAUGUUCACAUGUUUGUUAGAAGUCAACCUAGCAACUAUACCCCCAAAAGACCAAGCAAUUCCUAAUGGUAAGUAAUUAUUCGCAAAUAAAAUAUGUAUUUUUUUUUGUUUUCUUUCUAUUUUUAACCUUAAAGUUUUCAUUUUUUACCUAAUAUCUUAUCUAAAUUGUCAUGGAAUCUUCAAGAUUUAUCUCUAAAUGAAAUUGCGUGUUAGAAAAAUCUUAUCUUUUUGCUGAACAUGCUUAUAAUAUGGUGUUAAACAGAAAACACACUUUGGGUGAUGAAGGUUGUAAGUUUCGUAGCUUUGAUACCUCUGGAGGUGUUUGGCCACGCUAACUGUUGCAACCACUUUUACAUGGGUAAAUGGACAGUUGGGUAACGGGUCAAACAGGUUGGUGGUCAUCACACUCAGGUAGACACUGCAGCCAAAGUCAAGGGGCCUAAAGAUGAAGUUCAAAUAUAUACUUGAAUGGACGCCAAAAAACGUGAGCUAAUGAUUCGGGAUAAAGAUUUGGCUCUUAUUGAAGAACAUACGAAGGCUUUUAAAGCCGAAGGAGGGGAUGUAAGCAUUUGGUGACCAAAAUGAAGAAGAAGAUUAAGCGGCCAAGUGAUAGUUAAUAGUACCAAGCCAAACCAGAGUGAUUUAGGAGGUCUAACAAAGAAAACUCACUUUGGGCGUCUAUGGACGGGUUCCUUUCUAGCUAGCGUUUUAAGUUUUACCCGUUAGAGAUAAAUAUAACCUGAAACAACCCAUUCGUAUAUAAAUGACCAUGAAUUUCAGGAACUUGCAGCUUCUUUCUGGUCUGCUUCAGGUAAACGAGUAACCGAAUACUUGAGCAUCGCAACACGUGUUAGAAGUUCUCUUAGGAUUGCAGAAAGGCCAAGGUUUGUAUCUGCAUUUCGCUGAUCCAAUUGUGGGAAUAUGAGCCCCAAUGUGCUUGGGGCAUUCUGCACCGAUACUGGACUACCCUGUGACUUUAAUCAUAGUACUUGUGAUGGGAAGAAUGAGUUGUGUUAUGUUCGAGGACCAAGGUUCAUAUUCUUGAUUUCUAUACAUUCUAUAUAGGUGGUAAGAUCAUUGGGUUAGGUCUAAACGGUUCAACUUUUGACGGUUGUCUCUGAUCGUCUUUACAAGUGCUUUUGUCGGUUGUCUCUGAUUGUCUUUACAAGUGCUUUGCUAUGUGUUUAGGUAUAUUAUACAUCAAUAUAUGAUAGCGAAACAUCC